AUACGGAGGGUGCAAGCGUUAAUCGGAAUUACUGGGCGUAAAGCGUACGUAGGCGGUUAGUUAAGUAGAUGUGAAAGCCCCGGGCUUAACCUGGGAACUGCAUUUAAAACUGGCUAACUAGAGUUAAGUAGAGGGGAGUGGAAUUUCAGGUGUAGCGGUGAAAUGCGUAGAGAUCUGAAGGAACACCAGUGGCGAAGGCGACUCCCUGGACUCGAACUGACGCUGAGGUACGAAAGCGUGGGUAGCAAACGGGAUUAGAAACCCUAGUAGUCC
rnacentral:rRNA from 1 species